rnacentral:tRNA from 1 species
GCUUCUGUAGUGUAGUUCGGUCAAACAUGCUUAUUUUAAUAAGUUAUGGAUUACGCAUGCGAGGCUCUCACCCUCGCGACCCGGGUUCGAAUCCCGGCAGAAGCA